CACCAGGGGACAAAAGCCAUGUGCUUUCUCGUGCUCGCACGAGAAAAAACAUGGCUUUGGGACCCGCCAAAUCAUGAGGAUGCAGCGAUUUCCAAAGGAAAUCAGCGAAUCCGAAUGAUUUGCAGAAUUGCGAGAGCUGCGAAGCAGCGGAGCAAUUCGUAG
rnacentral:sRNA from 1 species